GACUCAUCCAGGAGCACCCCGAGCGCCUUGCCAAUGAGAGCCCAGGAGCAUCCUGAAAGCCUUGCCCAGAAGCACCCUGAAAGUUUUGCCCAGAAGCGUCCCGAGAGCCUCGUCCAGGAGCAUCCUGAGAGCCUUGCCCAGAAGCACUCUGAAAGUUUUGUCCAGAAGCAUCCCGAGAGCCUCGAUCAGGAGCAUCCUGAGAGCCUUGCCCAUGAGUGCCCACAGAGUCUUGCCCAGAAGCACCCUAAAAGCCUCGCCCAGAAGCACCCUGAAAGCCUCGCCCAGGAGCACCCAGAUAGACAGAGAAAAAGGAGGAUCAAAAGUUCUUCACCUCCUUCCUCUUCCUUCCCCUAUCGAAAGAAUAAAAAGGGUUGUCAAAAAUGCAGCCGACAGAAGUUUUUUUGUUUGAUCGAAUAACUGGGGAACGAAUAAAUGAGGGGAAGGCUGAACUGAAAAUACACUGGUUGCCUUGCUCUUCGUGUGGCAAAUCCUGGGAUGACACAUGGGAGCCUGCCAGAGAAUUCAGACACUACAUGCUUGAUGCCUGAGACAAAUGGAUGCAGAUGCAGCAAAAUUAUUUUUUGUAGUCUCAAUAAAAAUGUUUUACUAAACAUUGUAUACUUAGUAUAUGUAUGUAUGUAUAUAUAUUUACGCUAAGUUCAAAAUAUUUUAACUGACCCCUUGUGUCCAUGGCGACGCGUCAUGAUUGUCACGUGACACGCCGCAGCCACAAUAACUAACAGAUUUAUUUCGUUUUUCCUUUUUAUUAAAAAU